UGCACAUGACGACCUGUAGAAGUCUUCUACACUUAUUUUAUUUCCUCUUGUCAUAUUUAUGUAUUUAAUAUUGCUCUCAAAUGGCAUUCUAUCAUUUUUUCAUUACACAAAGACAUAAACGUCGGAGUUGAAAUAUGGCGUUGCGUCACGCAGCAGAGCUGAACUUCAUAAAGCUUCAUGAAUCUCCAGAGUGGAUCUGGAGCCUGGAGGCGUAAAUAGUGAAGAACACGAGGUUUAAGCGUUAAUGAGACGACGUUCGGCGUGUGUACUGAGCAGGAAUAUCUGUAGAGUCUGACUCUGACUCUGACUCUGAGUUUACUGAAUCACUUUGGAAUGAAACGAACUCUGAAAGAGGAAGAUAAGUAGGUCGGCAACUUCUGCUGCUGCUUCUGAGUUCUGUUCCUGAGAGAGAGGGAGAGAGAGAGAGAGAGAGAGAGAGAGAGAGAGAGAGAGAGAGAGAGAGAGAGAGAGAGAGAGAGAAGAAGACUUAUUAAAUGACUUCCUCUGCUGGCAGCCAAUCAGAGUUGUAGAUGAGCUGUGAUGAAGAAGCGUCAUGGCAGCGAGACCGUAACUCAUUACAGUGCUGCGGCUCUUCGCUUCUCGUCUCCAUUAAAUCUUCGCUACGUUUUUUUUGUCUUUCUGCUUUUUUUGUGUAGAAAAAUUGUAAUAAAGCAGAAAUGAUGUGUGACACAUUGAUUUUUCAUCCUGCAGCUGUUGCAGUAUUAAUUAUGGAGUUUCUCAGAAAAGUGGAAGUGAUUUGAUUAAAUUUCAUGGUGUGAGCUGCAGGGUAACACACACACACACACACACACACACACACACACACACACACACACACACACACACACACACACACACACACACACACACACUCUCUCUCCUCUUUUUUCUACCUGAACUAAAGUUAAAUGCAACACAAAAGUGAAUGAAAUCAAUGCAGAGAAAAGGAAACUCGUUGGUUUGUUUUGUUGUUGUUUUGUUGUUGUUUUGUUGUUUCUUCUUCGUCUCGUCAGCGAUGGCGGCCGCAGACCGGACAGACAGCACUAGCGGGGCGUGACCGUACGGUUCGCUGUGGAAUGACAGCAGCGCUAAUGAGAUUAGCAAUCUGAUGAUGCAAACACAAAGGAGUGGAGGUUAGGAGCAUCCUCAGGCAGAGCUGCAACUUUGAACAACAACCUGGAGAUGAAAGGAUAAAGAGACAGACGAGGGGGAGAAGAUAAUGAGGGAUGGAUGGAGAGAGAGCGAGAGAGAGAGAGAAAGAGAGAGAGAGAGAAUAUUAGAGUUAGAUAGAAAGGUGAAAGGGAAGGAAGAGGGAGAGACAGAAAGAGAGGGAUAGAGAGAGGUCCUAAGAUUGUAAAGAAAGAUAGAAGAGAAAAGAAGGGAUGAUAAGAGAAUAAUUCAUUUGGUUUGGUUGAAAAUCCUGUCAUCUGGUAUGUAUGUAUGUGAGGACAAAGGUUUGGAGGCAGCAGGUGACCCUGGUGAUGCACUUCGAUAACACACUCGUCUGUUUUGCUAAUCCGGCUUUAGCUAGCGUCAGAAGAUAUAUAGCUACUGCUGCAUGGACAGGCCACGCCCACAUGUGACAUCAGUACCAGUAGCUGCGAGAGAUGAACGUCUUGCUAGUGUGAAGUUCGGAUUGGACGUCUUGGACCUCGUCAGUCUCAGAGCGUGGGGGAUUAGCGAGCCAUCGCUUCAGCAGAGAGAAAGAGAGAGAGAGAGAGAGAGCGAGAGAGAGAGAGAGAGAGUCAGGUUACUUCAUUAUGUCCCAUUUCUGUCUUCGUCAGCUCAUUAAAUAUUGACAGGAAUCAGACCUUCAGGGAUCAUAAAUGCUUCUCGCAUCCGUGUUGUGACACGCUGACUGACAGACCGAUUUGUCUCGGGUUUAUCCGGCAUGAUCUCUGUCCUCGCCGAGGUUUCAUUGGAUCAUUGUAGCAGACACACACACACACACACACACACACACACACACACACACACACACAGGUCAGGUGUGGGGAAUGUUAGUCCUCCAUCAGUAAUGAUUGAGUCCACAGGUUAAGCGUUCUCUGCUAAGGUUAAUUGAUUGACAGCUAGCUUUAGAGCACUAAAGGGCUUUAGCGCAGACGACAUACUCGAUUAACGUUACUAGCGAAGCCUGUAAUAAAAUAAACAUUAUUUAUGGAGCAGAAAUACAGAAUUUUUACACAAUCUCAAACCUAGUGCCGAAUCAUUUCCAUCGUCAUAUCCAUCCAUCACGGGAAGUCUUUCCUGGUAAACGUACGCUAGCUACCUCAAAAGAGUUCCACAGGGUGUAGCACAGGACAGGUGUAGCACAUGACAGGUGAACACGAUCAGGGGCGGAGUCAGAAAAAACCACGACGUUAGCAUCUGACACUCGUUACUGAGGCGGAGCCUAAGAUUUUAAGGCAAAUCCAUAACUGUUAUGGUUUAUGUUCGAUCAUCUUAAUUAAUAUUCCUGUUCAUUAUUGUGCUGAAGUAAUUUUGACAGAAAUUCUCAUAUACAUGCUAAUUAGUUUCCACAGCUAAUGCUAUCUAGUUACGUAAACUGAGCAAAUCUGACAGGAUUUCGGAGUGUUUUUCAUUCCAGACACCAGACACGUUCAAUCAGCUACAAAGCUUUAUAAUUUAGCGACGAUUCUGUUCUGAUUACUUACACACCCUCCUGUAACACUUCGGCGUUCGGGUUUUGCUAAGCGCAUCCUGACUGCACUUCUGCUGUUACUGCAACUUUACUGCAACAAGCAUCAAUCUGCUGAGAUGUUGCAUCUUCUUACCUAUUUCUUGUCUUUCUGUCUUUUUUCCUUUAAAGAAAAUAAAUAAAUAAAGGCAGCGUAAUUGAA